AUCGAGUUAAGAACAGCCGGUGCCGGUGUCUGCUUUGGCAGACAAUGGAUAAUAGGGAAACAGGUGAAAAACCUGUACGAUCUCGUCACUGUAAGUAAGGAGCGCAUGACCUGCGUCAUGUACGGUCACUGAUCCGAAGCGGAUUGGGAAGGCGGUUAUGCGUGUUGAUCUGCAAGUCAGGAAACCUGCCAGCUGUUGGUACAGGAAU
rnacentral:ncRNA from 17 species